ACAAAAUUAUGAAUUGAGCGGGUAAAAUGCAUAUCUUAUAGUUUAUGGCCAACAACUUUGAAAGCCAGUACUUUAGAGUGUGUUGCAGUGAGAUAACAGAGAAAUUUACCCAAUUUACAUCCAAAAUGCUGUACUGAAUUAUCACACCAUCAGUACUGAAAGAAAUUAAGGUUCUACUGCCAAAUAGGGAAAUACUUACAGGGAGAAACAAAGUAGGUGAUUUAAACAAAACAUAUAAAAGGAGCUGAAACCUGAGCACAGAAUAGGUUAGGGAUUUUGGCUCCCAUUAAACUUAAAAUCAAGAGUUUUCAUCUUCUGAAAGAUGCUGGAUGCCCAAGUAUACUUAAGAGAGAGAUGCCAAAUGCUGCUGCAGUCUGUCUGCCAGCGUCUAAGGGCAAAACCCUCUCAGAACACAGCUGAUAAUAUCAUACUGUGGCAUGCUCUCGGGCAUUUUGCCCCUUUAAUCGAGACUUAUCUUUCUCAAGGAACUAGGCGAUUGGGAGAUAAAUAUCCCUACGUUCAGUGGUAUUACAUAUUCAUGCCUUUCCUUCUCAGGACAGUCUGAUAAAGAAGUUAUUACUACUCAACUUUAAAGCUAUGUAAACACUCUAGAGGGUCAACUUUCCAGUGUCACAGAGCUCCUACAUAUAAAGGUUUAUUAUUUCAAUCUUUAGUUGGCACAGAACUUCUGGUUGGUACAUACUCCUUGGGAGUUUUUUUCAGUACUAAAUUGCUCCACGGACCACCAAUAUUUUUUGACCAUGGCCAGUGUAAUUCCAGGUUAAUCUCUGCCACUUCCAGCCACUGAUCCGUCUUCAGGCAAAUAAAAUGAGGCAUAUUACUUUCCAGAGACUACCCGCUCCUUGGCCAGGACGAGGUGACCGGUGAGCGGAAGUAGGGCGAGGACAGCGCGAUGGGAGACAGCGAGCCAGCACCUCCGAGACCCCGGCGCCGAGCCGGGCUGGGCGUCACCGCGCGGCUGCACCUGCCGAGAGGGAGCCGCGCGUCCGAUCCGCGUAGCGCCGACCCCGCCGCGGCCUGUCCCGCAGCCCCGCUCACCUCCUCGCUGUGCGUGGACGGGCACUUCUUCCGCAGGCGGCCCCAGUUGAGCAGGUUCCCGGUCUGCAG